rnacentral:rRNA from 1 species
AACGUGGGUAACCUGCCUUAUAGUGGGGGAUAGCCUUUCGAAAGGAAGAUUAAUACCGCAUAAGAUUGUAGUAUCGCAUGAUAUAGCAAUUAAAGGAGCGAUCCGCUAUAAGAUGGACCCGCGUCGCAUUAGCUAGUUGGUGAGGUAAUGGCUCACCAAGGCGACGAUGCGUAGCCGACCUGAGAGGGUGAUCGGCCACAUUGGGACUGAGACACGGCCCAGACUCCUACGGGAGGCAGCAUG